AAUCAUCCAGUUUUCUAAAUUAUGGAAAUUUUGUGGAAGACGUUGACCUGGAUUUUGAGCCUCAUCAUGGCUUCAUCGGAAUUUCAUAGUGACCACAGGCUUUCAUACAGUUCUCAAGAGGAAUUCCUGACUUAUCUUGAACACUACCAGCUAACUAUUCCAAUAAGGGUUGAUCAAAAUGGAGCAUUUCUCAGCUUUACUGUGAAAAAUGAUAAACACUCAAGGAGAAGACGGAGUAUGGACCCUAUUGAUCCACAGCAGGCAGUAUCUAAGUUAUUUUUUAAACUUUCAGCCUAUGGCAAGCACUUUCAUCUAAACUUGACUCUCAACACAGAUUUUGUGUCCAAACAUUUUACAGUAGAAUACUGGGGGAAAGAUGGACCCCAGUGGAAACAUGAUUUUUUAGACAACUGUCAUUACACAGGAUAUUUGCAAGAUCAACGUAGUACAACUAAAGUGGCUUUAAGCAACUGUGUUGGGUUGCAUGGUGUUAUUGCUACAGAAGAUGAAGAAUAUUUUAUUGAACCUUUAAAGAAUACCACAGAGGAUUCCAAGCAUUUUAGUUAUGAAAAUGGCCACCCUCACGUUAUUUACAAAAAGUCUGCCCUUCAACAACGACAUCUGUAUGAUCACUCUCAUUGUGGGGUUUCGGAUUUCACAAGAAGUGGCAAACCUUGGUGGCUGAAUGACACAUCCACUGUUUCUUAUUCACUACCAGUUAACAACACACAUAUCCACCACAGACAGAAGAGAUCAGUGAGCAUUGAACGGUUUGUGGAGACAUUGGUAGUGGCAGACAAAAUGAUGGUGGGCUACCAUGGCCGCAAAGACAUUGAACAUUACAUUUUGAGUGUGAUGAAUAUUGUUGCCAAACUUUACCGUGAUUCCAGCCUAGGAAACGUAGUGAAUAUUAUAGUGGCCCGCUUAAUUGUUCUCACCGAAGACCAGCCAAACUUGGAGAUAAACCACCAUGCAGACAAGUCCCUCGAUAGCUUCUGUAAAUGGCAGAAAUCCAUUCUCUCCCACCAAAGUGAUGGAAACACCAUUCCAGAAAAUGGGAUUGCCCACCACGAUAAUGCAGUUCUUAUUACUAGAUAUGAUAUCUGCACUUAUAAAAAUAAGCCCUGUGGAACACUGGGCUUGGCCUCUGUGGCUGGAAUGUGUGAGCCUGAAAGGAGCUGCAGCAUUAAUGAAGACAUUGGCCUGGGUUCAGCUUUUACCAUUGCACAUGAGAUUGGUCACAAUUUUGGUAUGAACCAUGAUGGAAUUGGAAAUUCUUGUGGGACGAAAGGUCAUGAAGCAGCAAAACUUAUGGCAGCUCACAUUACUGCGAAUACCAAUCCUUUUUCCUGGUCUGCGUGCAGUCGAGACUACAUCACCAGCUUUCUAGAGAAGUGUGUAGAGAGCUCUGGUGUCUCAGCAAAAGCAACCGCUGUGUCACCAACAGUAUUCCAGCAGCUGAGGGGACACUGUGUCAAACUGGGAAUAUUGAAAAAGGGUGGUGUUAUCAGGGAGAUUGUGUUCCUUUUGGCACUUGGCCCCAGAGCAUAGAUGGGGGCUGGGGUCCCUGGUCACUAUGGGGAGAGUGCAGCAGGACCUGCGGGGGAGGCGUCUCCUCAUCCCUAAGACACUGUGACAGUCCAGCACCUUCAGGAGGUGGAAAAUAUUGCCUUGGGGAAAGGAAACGGUAUCGCUCCUGUAACACAGAUCCAUGCCCUUUGGGUUCCCGAGAUUUUCGAGAGAAACAGUGUGCAGACUUUGACAAUAUGCCUUUCCGAGGAAAGUAUUAUAACUGGAAACCCUAUACUGGAGGUGGGGUAAAACCUUGUGCAUUAAACUGCUUGGCUGAAGGUUAUAAUUUCUACACUGAACGUGCUCCUGCGGUGAUCGAUGGGACGCAGUGCAAUGCGGAUUCACUGGAUAUCUGCAUCAAUGGAGAAUGCAAGCACGUAGGUUGUGAUAAUAUUUUGGGAUCUGAUGCUAGAGAAGAUAGAUGUCGAGUCUGUGGAGGGGACGGAAGCACAUGUGAUGCCAUUGAAGGGUUCUUCAAUGAUUCACUGCCCAGGGGAGGCUACAUGGAAGUGGUGCAGAUACCAAGAGGCUCGGUUCACAUUGAAGUCAGAGAAGUUGCCAUGUCAAAGAACUAUAUUGCUUUAAAAUCUGAAGGAGAUGAUUACUAUAUUAAUGGUGCCUGGACUAUAGACUGGCCUAGGAAAUUUGAUGUCGCUGGGACAGCUUUUCACUACAAGAGACCAACUGAUGAACCAGAAUCCUUGGAAGCUCUAGGUCCUACCUCAGAAAAUCUCAUCAUCAUGGUUCUGCUUCAAGAACAGAAUUUGGGAAUUAGGUAUAAGUUCAAUGUUCCCAUCACUCGAACUGGCAGUGGAGAUAAUGAAGUUGGCUUUACAUGGAAUCAUCAGCCUUGGUCAGAAUGCUCAGCUACUUGUGCUGGAGGUAAGAUGCCCACUAGGCAGCCCACCCAGAGGGCAAGAUGGAGAACAAAACACAUUCUGAGCUAUGCUUUGUGUUUGUUAAAAAAGCUAAUUGGAAACAUUUCUUGCAGGUUUGCUUCAAGCUGUAAUUUAGCAAAAGAAACUUUGCUUUAAUUAUAUUAUAUUCCAUUUGUUUUCAACCUCAUGUAAUUUGUGCAGAUUUGUUGGUAAAAUACAUCUUGGCACAAUGAGUGUCUCUGCUGGUGCUUCUCCCAAGACUAUCUUGAAGGUGGGCUGUUUGCCUUUCGUGAACACAUUCUUGGUAAAGAACAUCAAAAGUUUUAAAAAAGAAAAUGAGCAAGAAUCAGACAUCACAGAUGCAACUUCUUGUAAUGGGAGAUGAGAAUGUACGGCUGUG
rnacentral:sRNA from 1 species